rnacentral:rRNA from 1 species
UCAGGAUGAACGCUAGCUACAGGCUUAACACAUGCAAGUCGAGGGGCAGCAUUGGAGUAGCAAUACUCAGAUGGCGACCGGCGCACGGGUGAGUAACACGUAUCCAACCUGCCGCUUACUCGGGGAUAGCCUUUCGAAAGAAAGAUUAAUACCCGAUGGUAUAAAGAGUUCGCAUGUUCUCUUUAUUAAAGAAUUUCGGUAAGCGAUGGGGAUGCGUUCCAUUAGAUAGUUGGCGGGGUAACGGCCCACCAAGUCUACGAUGGAUAGGGGUUCUGAGAGGAAGGUCCCCCCACAUUGGAACUGAGACACGGUCCAAACUCCUACGGGAGGCAGCAGUGAGGAAUAUUGGUCAAUGGACGAGAGUCUGAACCAGCCAAGUAGCGUGAAGGAUGACUGCCCUAUGGGUUGUAAACUUCUUUUAUAAGGGAAUAAAGUGAGGGACGUGUCCCUUCUUGUAUGUACCUUAUGAAUAAGGAUCGGCUAACUCCGUGCCAGCAGCAGC